rnacentral:rRNA from 1 species
GAUGAACGCUGGCGGCGUGCCUAAUACAUGCAAGUCGAGCGAACGGACGAGAAGCUUGCUUCUCUGAUGUUAGCGGCGGACGGGUGAGUAACACGUGGAUAACCUACCUAUAAGACUGGGAUAACUUCGGGAAACCGGAGCUAAUGCCGGAUAAUAUUUUGAACCGCAUGGUUCAAAAGUGAAAGACGGUCUUGCUGUCACUUAUAGAUGGAUCCGCGCUGCAUUAGCUAGUUGGUAAGGUAACGGCUUACCAAGGCAACGAUGCAUAGCCGACCUGAGAGGGUGAUCGGCCACACUGGAACUGAGACACGGUCCAGACUCCUACGGGAGGCAGCAGUAGGGAAUCUUCCGCAAAGGGCGAAAGCCUGACGGAGCAACGCCGCGUGAGUGAUGAAGGUCUUCGGAUCGUAAAACUCUGUUAUUAGGGAAGAACAUAUGUGUAAGUAACUGUGCACAUCUUGACGGUACCUAAUCAGAAAGCCACGGCUAACUACGUG